GUUCUUCGGAAUUAGAGACCGGCGCACGGGUGCGUAACGCGUAUGCAAUCUACCUUUUACAGAGGGAUAGCCCAGAGAAAUUUGGAUUAAUACCUCAUAGUAUAGAUCAACCGCAUGGUUGGCCUAUUAAAGUCACAACGGUAAAAGACGAGCAUGCGUCCCAUUAGCUAGUUGGUAAGGUAACGGCUUACCAAGGCGACGAUGGGUAGGGGUCCUGAGGGGGAGAUCCCCCACACUGGUACUGAGACACGGACCAGACUCCUACGGGAGGCAGCAGUGAGGAAUAUUGGACAAUGGGCGCAAGCCUGAUCCAGCCAUGCCGCGUGCAGGAUGACGGUCCUAUGGAUUGUAAACUGCUUUUGCACAGGAAGAAACAACUCUACGUGUAGAGUCUUGACGGUACUGUGAGAAUAAGGAUCGGCUAACUCCGUGCCAGCAGCCGCGGUAAUACGGAGGAUCCAAGCGUUAUCCGGAAUCAUUGGGUUUAAAGGGUCCGUAGGCGGUUUAGUAAGUCAGUGGUGAAAGCCCAUCGCUCAACGGUGGAACGGCCAUUGAUACUGCUAGACUUGAAUUAUU
rnacentral:rRNA from 1 species